CUCCAGGAGAACAGGGACUUUGGUCUGCUUUGUUCAUUAUACCCAACUCUGAGCUUAGAACUUAUGUCAUAGUAGGUUUUCAGUAAAUAACUGUUGAUGGAAAGGUGAAUCCUCUUUGUAUCUCCAAGGAGAUCGUGGAGUCUCCUGCAUCUUUUCAAUGCCUGGUACAAAGAUUGCAGGUUAGGACUUCAGAGCAAGUGUCAGCUGGAUGGUCUUUCAGUUCCACGCAGUAUUAACUGAAGUCACACAGAAAUGUAUCUGGCGAAGGUGGAUGACCUAGUCUAGAGGGUCUCAAGUGGCUUCACCAAAGUCACAGUCCAUUCACUUAUGAAUUUGGGGAGAACACAAACACUGAGACCACAGCAACCCAGCCUGAGCCUUGCAGGGAUGAUGGGAAGUCAGGGCUCAGCUGGGGCUAUCAGAGCUGCUCCCCAGGCUGCCUCAUCACAGUGGUUUCAGGAAGGCAGACUUACAUGGAGGCCCGGGCUCCAAAAAUCUCCAGAUCCAAGGCCUGUGACAGCCCCUGAGGAUCCAGAAUGUAACUUUCACAACAUUUUAUUGUUCAGGCCAGCCCAGAGUCAAAGGAAUUAUACUCUGCCUCUCAGUGGGGGAAACAGCAAAGAAUUUCCAGACUUCAUGGAUCUACCACAGUUUUUCUAUAUAAGAAAAGACAAUGCCAAUACACCCUUGUUUAUAGCAGUACAAUUUGUAAUAGCUAAAUCUUGGAAACAACCCAAAUGCCCAUCAAUGGAUGGACAAAGAAGAUUUUUUAUAUAUAUACAAUGAAGUACUACUCUAUCAUAAAGCAAGAUAAACUUGAGACAUUUCUAGGUAAAUGGAUGCACCUUGAGACCAUACUCUUAAAUGAAAUGAAUCAAACACUCAUGUUUAAGUAUCGCAUUGUUUCUCUGGUGUGAGAAACCAAAAGGGUAAAUAAAGACCAAAAUGUAUAACAGAUAUUGGAAAAUAGGAAGAAAAUGUUCAAAUGGGAAGGAGAACAAUGGAGAGGGG
rnacentral:lncRNA from 1 species